rnacentral:misc_RNA from 1 species
GCAAACUUGGUCAUUUAGAGGAAGUAAAAGUCGUAACAAGGUUUCCGUAGGUGAACCUGCGGAAGGAUCAUUAACGAGUUUUGAAAGGGGUUGUUGCUGGCCUUUCACGAGGCAUGUGCACACCCUGCUCUUCCACUCUCAACCUCUGUGCACUAUUGUAGGCUUGGUGAAAGGCGUUGACUCGCAAGGGUCAGCUGCUGGAAGCCUCGUCUAUGUUUCACUACAAACGCUUCAGUUAUAGAAUGUAACACUUGCGGAUAACGCAUUUAUAUACAACUUUCAGCAACGGAUCUCUUGGCUCUCGCAUCGAUGAAGAACGCAGC